rnacentral:rRNA from 1 species
GAUGAACGCUGGCGGCGUGCCUAAUACAUGCCAGUCGAGCGAACGGACGAGAAGCUUGCUUCUCUGAUGUUAGCGGCGGACGGGUGAGUAACACGUGGAUAACCUACCUAUAAGACUGGGGUAACUUCGGGAAACCGUAGCUAAUACCGGAUAAUAUUUUGAACCGCAUGGUUCAAAAGUGAAAGACGGUCUUGCUGUCACUUAUAGAUGGAUCCGCGCUGCAUUAGCUAGUUGGUAAGGUAACGGCUUACCAAGGCAACGAUGCAUAGCCGACCUGAGAGGGUGAUCGGCCACACUGGAACUGAGACACGGUCCAGACUCCUACGGGAGGCAGCAGUAGGGAAUCUUCCGCAAUGGGCGAAAGCCUGACGGAGCAACGCCGCGUGAGUGAUGAAGGUCUUCGGAUCGUAAAACUCUGUUAUUAGGGAAGAACAUAUGUGUAAGUAACUGUGCACAUCUUGACGGUACCUAAUCAGAAAGCCACGGCUAACUACGUG